GGUAGGCCCUUCUCCAGCUGCAGGACAGACUUUGAGUACCUGAGAGUCGUAUUGGUCAUCAUCUCAGGAUCCAAGGUCUCGAACGCCGACUGAAACACAGGCAUGCACAAAUAACUCCACAAGUGUAACCUUCAUCAUCAGGAUGUCCCACUCGUCUAUGGCUGUCCACAGCAGCUCCUUCAGCUUCAGCUCAGCAUACGCUUCCUCCAGAGCAUCAAACUUGGUCACCUCAACCUGUAACAGUGACCCAUUGAACAUCAAGUCCAAGCCAGACAGAUGCAGUGACACAGUGAGUACCUUGAAGUUCUUCUGGUAGGACUUGUACGUG